rnacentral:rRNA from 1 species
GCUUACGGCCCCACCGCCUGGUUCAUGCCCGAUCUCGUUUGAUCUCGGAAGCUAAGGUAGGUUGGGCCUGGUUUAGUACUUGGAUGGGAGACCGCCUGGGAAUACCAGGUGCUGUAAGCU